GAAAGUCUAAAGGCUUCGGCCGCUUCCGGAUAGGCCCGACCCCCAUUAGCUUGUUGGUGAGGUAAAGGCUCACCAAGGCCGCGAUGGGUAGGCGACGUGAGAGCGUGACCGCCGACACGAGGACUGAGAUACGGCCUCGACUCCUACGGGGGGCAGCAGUCUAGAAGCUUCGGCAAUGGGCGAAAGCCUGACCGAGCGACGCCGCGUGCGGGAUGAAGCCCCUUGGGGUGUAAACCGCUUUCGGACGGGAAGAAAGUCCGAAUUUACCCGGACCUGACGGUACCGUAAGAAGAAGCACCGGCUAACUCCGUGCCAGCAGCCGCGGUAAUACGGAGGGUGCAAGCGUUAUUCGGAUUCAUUGGGCGUAAAGGGCGCGUAGGCGGCCGCGUAAGUCUGGUGUGAAAACGCUACCGCUUAACGGAGCGACUGCAUCGGAUACUGCAUGGCUUGAGUGCGGGAGAGGUGAGUGGAAUGAGUGGUGUAGCGGUGGAAUGCGUAGAUAUCACUCAGAACACCAGUGGCGAAGGCGGCUCACUGGCCCGCAACUGACGCUGAGGCGCGAAAGCGUGGGGAGCAAACGGGAUUAGAUACCCCGGUAGUCCUAGCCCUAAACGAUGAAUGCUUGGUGUGGCGGGUAUCGACCCCCUCCGUGCCGGAGCUAACACAUUAAGUACUCCGCCUGGGAAGUACGACCGCAAGGUUGAAACUCAAAGGAAUUGACGGGGGCCCGCACAAGCGGUGGAGCAUGUGGUUUAAUUCGACUCAACGCGAAGAACCUUACCUGGGCUUGAACCGCUGGGAAAACCCCAUGAAAGUGGGGUCUCUUCGGAGACCGCCGUAGAGGUGCUGCAUGGCUGUCGUCAGCUCGUGUCGUGAGAUGUUGGGUUAAGUCCCGCAACGAGCGCAACCCUCGUCCUAUGUUGCCAGCACGUAAUGGUGGGGACUCUAAGGAGACUGCCCCGGGUUAACGGGGAGGAAGGUGGGGACGACGUCAAGUCAUCAUGGCCCUUACGUCCGGGGCUACAAACGUGCUACAAUGGCCAGGACAAUGCGUCGCUACUUCGCGAGAAGAUGCCAAUCCCAUAAAGUCGGUCUCAGUUCGGAUUGGAGUCUGCAACUCGACUCCAUGAAGCUGGAGUCGCUAGUAAUCGCUGAUCAGAAUGCAGCGGUGAAUGAGUUCCCGGGCCUUGUACACACCGCCCGUCACGUCACGAAAGUCGCCUGUACCAGAAGAUGCUGUCGGAACCUUCGGGGCCAAGGCAUCAAAGGU
rnacentral:rRNA from 1 species